UACAGAGGGUGCAAGCGUUGUUCGGAAUUACUGGGCGUAAAGCGCGUGUAGGCUGCAAUGUAAGUCGAACGUGAAAGCCCUCAGCUUAACUGAGGAAGUGCGUUUGAUACUGCAUCGCUUGAGUGUCGGAGGGGAUGGCGGAAUUCCCGGUGUAGAGGUGAAAUUCGUGAGAUAUCGGGAGGAACACCUGUGGCGAAGGCGGCCAUCUGGACGACGACUGACGCUGAGACGCGAAAAGCGUGGGUAGCAAACAGG
rnacentral:rRNA from 1 species